UUCAGUUUGUUUUAUUUUGAUUGAAAAGUUAGAAAAAAAGAAUUUUUUUGAAUGAAAAAUGAAAAAAAGCUCCAACAUUUCAAUGUGUUUCUUUUUGUUAAUCGUAAUUACUCUUACCGUUAUAAAGACAACCUUUAUUUGUUUGAAUCAAAUGCAGAACAGACCAAAAUGCAGAACAGAUAUUAAUAAACUACGUGUUUGACAUUUUGCAAUGAAAGCUGUUACUAAAUACGUUGUUGCAAGCUGUUGCCCUGUGACAAUAAUGCUGCAUGGAUUCGGACUUUUUCUUUUAAUAAAAGCAAAAAAACUGGUAAUGGACUCUACUCAACGCACCAUUAUUUUUCAUCUCUGUGUGUCUGAACUUUGUUUAAAUAUAACACUUUUUACUUUAGCCUUGUUAGAUUUUACUUUUAUUAAAGCUCCUGUUUAUCUUUAUUACUUACUCAGAACAUUCGUAACCGCGUAUUAUUGUACAAACAUCUGGCUUACAUUUGAUCGUUUUUUGCACACACAAUUGACCAUCAAAUAUCCUGCGUAUUGGUCAAAUAAACACACUAAAAUUUCUGAGUUCUUUUUAUGGUUUUUCAGUUUUGGGUGUGGUUUUUUAGUUUUUAUUAAAUAUAAACAAGUAUUAGUGAUUAUAGAUCUUACAUUUGAUGCUAUAAUUUUGGUAUUUCCAACAUUUGUGUACGUGAAUGCAAUUUUGCUUUCAAGAAAAAUGAAAAACGGUAAAAAAAUCAAACGAAAAGGGGUUUUAUUAAUAAUGAUGAUAAUAUCGAGUAAUAUAGUUUUAAUUGUAAUACCGCACUUGAUUUUAUCUACAUAUCGGUUUUUAAAAAUGGAAAAAGAUAUCUCUGUUCUAUUAAAAGUAGUAAUGGAUUUGGUUUUAGUAUCAGGGUUUUGGAGCCAUGCCUUACUUUAUAUAUUGAUGUGUCCUAAUGUUUGUAAUACUUUAAAUAGAUUUCAUAUAAAAAAAUCUAUAUUGCAUAAGAAAAAAGAAUUUUCAGAGGCAAAACAAAUGAUUUUUCAAAAGCAAAAUUCUCCAAAGAUUUCACAGCAUUUCGAAAUCAAAAAAUCAAUUACUAAAAUCUGAAUUAAAAUAUUUAUUUUACCUUUUAACAAUGGUGAUAUAAAUUGCAAACGUACGAAAGAAAACAUUAAUUUUUUUGAAAAACAUUUUUAAGAACUUUAAACAUCAAGAUUAAAGAUAUAAAAAGUUAUUUAAUGCAAACAACAAACUUAGUGAUUUUAAAGCUAGAGUGAACUUUGGCGUUUUUAGACUAAUACUUGUUAUGUGUAUGUUUGACUUGUCUGUGUCUGUUUGAGUCUGUUUCAGGUCCUAAAAAUAUGACAUUAUGAAUUAUGUACCUAUUAAUUAUGACAAUCAUCUGGUCUAGAUAUUUAGGCAGCAAACUGCUUAAUGAUAACUACUUUUCCAAUAAACACAUGAGCAUCUUAUAAACGUCUAAAAAACGUUUUAGACAUUUAAAAGAUGUUCAUGUGUUCACGACCUAAAGUUUUGGUCAAUUAUCCGUUCAGAUUGAAAUCCAGAAUAACACAUUUAUUAGAAGUCGAGAUUCAAACGUUUAACCGACAAUUAAUAGAAUUAUAACUGAAGAUUUGAAAUGCAUGAUUCAA